GGGAAACAGAAAAAAUAGCGAAAAAAAUAAAUAAAUAAAACUUUAAUCUAGUUAACUUGAACUAACAUAAUGCGAGUUUUAAAAUGCUAUUGUAUUUAACUAAUUUCUUUUUUAAAUAAAUACAAGCAUCUAACAGAAUAAAUAAUAAAAAAAUAAAAAAUUGGAAAUCCAACCUCAAACCGAGCUGAGAAGGAGAAUAGCAUUAUAUGAAUAGUCCUUUCAUUAUGU